GCGCUCGUGGCCUAAUGGAUAAGGCGUGUGACUUCUAAUCAGGCGAUUGUGUGUUUGAGUCCCGCCGAGCGGG
rnacentral:tRNA from 1 species